rnacentral:ncRNA from 1 species
GUUCUGGCGGCCAAGCGUUCAUAGCAACAUCGCUUUUUGAUCCUUUGAAGUCAGCUCUCCCUGUCAUUGCGAAGCAGAAUUCACCAGGUGUUGGAUUAUUCACCCACUAAUAGGGAACGAGAGCUGGGAUUAGACCAUCGUGGGACAGGUU